rnacentral:misc_RNA from 1 species
AAGUCGUAACAAGGUUUCCGUAGGUGAACCUGCGGAAGGAUCAUUACAACGUAUCCACGUACCAAACUCUCGAACUGUUCCCAAUGAAGAUGAAGUUAAUGGUCGAGUUGCUUUUCGCUGAUAAAUGAAGAUGAAGUUAAUGGUCGAGUUGCUUUUCGCUGAUGGAGUUCGCUUGGCGAACUGAAAGGCUCUCGAUUGCCAAACGACCUUCGGGUCGGCUGGGACUUCAUUUACUUCAUUGCGGUUUUACCAUCAGCAUUGUUUUACCAUUAUUAACCCUUUUAAAAUUCGAACUGAACUAUGAAAUCAAGCAGCCGUCCUCGUUGGCUUCGGUCACGGACUGUUGAUUGCUUUCAAACAUACGAAACAAAGAACAACUCUUAGCAACGGAUAUCUUGGCUCUC